rnacentral:rRNA from 1 species
GAUGAACGCUGGCGGCGUGCCUAAUACAUGCAAGUAGAACGCUGAAGGAGGAGCUUGCUCUUCUGGAAGAGUUGCGAACGGGUGAGUAACGCGUAGGUAACCUGCCUCUUAGCGGGGGAUAACUAUUGGAAACGAUAGCUAAUACCGCAUAAAAGUCGACAUUGCAUGAUGUUGACUUGAAAGGUGCAAUUGCAUCACUAAGAGAUGGACCUGCGUUGUAUUAGCUAGUUGGUGAGGUAACGGCUCACCAAGGCGACGAUACAUAGCCGACCUGAGAGGGUGAUCGGCCACACUGGGACUGAGACACGGCCCAGACUCCUACGGGAGGCAGCAGUAGGGAAUCUUCGGCAAUGGGGGCAACCCUGACCGAGCAACGCCGCGUGAGUGAAGAAGGUUUUCGGAUCGUAAAGCUCUGUUGUAAGAGAAGAACGAGUGUGAGAGUGGAAAGUUCACGCUGUGACGGAUCUACCAGA